rnacentral:rRNA from 1 species
CAGUAGCCACGGUAGUACGAAGGGUGCAAGCGUUAAUCGGAAUUACUGGGCGUAAAGCGUGCGUAGGCGGUGAGUUAAGUCUGCUGUGAAAUCCCCGGGCUCAACCUGGGAAUGGCAGUGGAUACUGGCUCGCUAGAGUGUGUCAGAGGAUGGUGGAAUUCCCGGUGUAGCGGUGAAAUGCGUAGAGAUCGGGAGGAACAUCAGUGGCGAAGGCGGCCAUCUGGGACAACACUGACGCUGAGGCACGAAAGCGUGGGGAGCAGACAGGAUUAGAUACCCCGUAGUCCCUGUCUCUUAUACA